rnacentral:lncRNA from 1 species
ACACAAUAAAGAGGCAUAAGGAUCUUAAGGUAAGAAUUGAUUGAUUCCCAGGAUAACUGCUAGGCCGCAGGCUUAGAGGGCAGUCAACAGUAAUAGAGCAGAAGGAUGCAAGGUGCCAGAAGAAACACUUCUCAGCAUGUGUUACCAUUUUGAAAAAUGGUAUAGAGUUUUAAUACAAAUGUAUGGCUUAAAUCGUGAGAGGUCUAUUGAGAGCUAAAAAAAUUAUAAAAGGAGGUAAUAUAUUGGCUUGAUAAAAGGAUCUGGACAAAAAAAUAAAUGUAAUCAUACUUUGCUCAGCUAUCAAGAAUAUUAACAGAAUCAUAAUAAUGGAAACAACAACCAUUAACAAGACAUAUAUAUUAUUAUAUUCAGAGGAAGGGAGAAGGCAACGAAUGUUUGUCGAAAAGAAAUUGUAGUGAAAACAUCAAUCCUCACCUUACACAGAUGGAUGGCUCUCUUGCACGGAUCAAGAACAGAAUGAAGAAGGACACAAUUUCUGGGUAUUAAAAUUGUCAAAUGAAAAGAUGAUGAUUUUUACCAAGACAGUGAAAAAGAUACAAUUAUGUUAUGAUGUCUUUGAAAAAAACAAAUCUUAAAUUACACAUUGAAUAGUAAUUACUAAGUUCUCGAUAUUUGCUUACUUUUUUUUCCUGUAAAGGACAAGUAUAGAAAUAAAAUAAUUUCUAUAAUAGGAUUAAUAAUAGAAAGAGAAAUUAUACAUCCAUUGUUUGGACAAUAUAGUUAAUUCUGUCAAAGUUGUCUACAUUUACUGAAAGUUUGUCAACUUUAUUUUUAAUAAUUAUAUUUAUAUAAUUUGAAACAAUUAUAUAAUCCAAAAUAAUUUUAUAUAUAUAUAGAUGGAGGUAUAUUUGACCCUAUUCCUUAUUGUAACUGUGACAAAAUUAUAGUCUGUGUUUUGCUGAAUCUUAGAUACGUGAAGGUUAAUGAGGUAGAUCUUAAAUUUUUCUUAAUAUAAAGACUCAUGUUAUAUUUAAAUAUCAUUGGGAAUAAUUUUAUCAUCUAAUUUGUAAAUAAUUCAUAAACUUUAUAAUAUUCAGUGUUAACAUUCUUGGAAUAAUAUUUUGUAGAUUAACAUUUAAAAUGUGAAAAUUUGUUAGGGAGAAAAUAUGAAAGAGAAUAAUUUGGGAAAAACUUCAUUUUUGUAGAAAGUUAUUUUCUAAUAUUGCAUACAGAAUAAUAUAAUGUAUAACAUUUUUCAAAAAAGUUACAAAUAAUCUGUGUUAUGGAUCUAAGAGGAUCCUCAAAAGUUUCCCACUUCCUGGAACUUGCACCUUUGUAUAUUUCCUCCAAUUGAGUAUAGGCUGAACCCAAUAAUUUGCUUCU